UUUUGAGAUGGAGUCUUGCUCUGUCACCCAGGCUGGAGUGCAGAGGCCUGAUUUCAGUUCACUGCCACCUUCACCUCUUAGGUUCAAGCAAUUCUUCUAUUCAGUCUCCUUGGUAGCUGUGAUUCCAUGCUCACACCACCAUGCCCAGAUAACAAACCAAUUUGAAGCUCUUGUUGACUAUCUUCCAGUAAAAAUGCAUGUUGGGAAAUAUGCCUUUCCUUUAAGUUGAAAAAGUCCCUCAGUUGUUUUGAACUGUACUGCAAUUCUCUUUCCAGACUCCACAAGAGCAAAGAAGGCAG
rnacentral:lncRNA from 13 species